AGUAGAACAGAGCAGAUACAGCUUUUCUAAUCUCUAAUAUCUUUGUCCCUUUAGCUAAGAAUGAAACUCGAAUAUGGCCUGCUGAAUCCAAAACACCAGAAGUUCAAGAAAUAUCCCCACAGUCCCUUCCAGCAACAAGUGAAUCCAUUCUGGAAUCUUUCACACCUAAAACUUUGCGUCCUUUUCAUUGGCCAAGCGUAACAUUAGCUCCAAAGGAAAUACCACUUAUUCCUUCUAAACUGAAACCAUCUGCUACCCCAGAAGUACAGCAUGUGAAACCUGGUAAUUGUGCACACCAUUUUUAUAAGUUGGUAGGCAGAGACAUAUGUUUACUAAAAAUAUCUAAGCAAAACUUCCCAAAAAGGACAGGAGCUAUGCAAUA
rnacentral:lncRNA from 1 species